GACGAACCGUGCGAACGUUAUUCGGAAUCACUGGGCUUAAAGGGCGCGUAGGCGGGUCAUCAAGUCAGGGGUGAAAUACUCCGGCCUAACCGGAGAACGGCUUCUGAUACUGGUGACCUCGAGGGGUGUAGGGGCAUGUGGAACUUCCGGUGGAGCGGUGAAAUGCGUAGAUAUCGGAAGGAACGCCGGUGGCGAAAGCGACGUGCUGGACACCUUCUGACGCUGAGGCGCGAAAGCCAGGGGAG
rnacentral:rRNA from 1 species